GCAAGUUUCUGGAGAUGCAUGCUC
rnacentral:siRNA from 1 species